rnacentral:pre_miRNA from 1 species
AUUGUACUCCCUCCAUUCGGAAUUACUUGUCGCAGAAAUGGAUGUAUCUAGAUGUAUUUUAGUUCUAAAUACAUCCAUUUUCAAGACAAGUAAUUCCGAACGGAGGGAGUAGUAU